GCUGUUUAGCGCCGCCCUGCAACCCCUGUCGGCUGCCUGGCUCACGCGUGGCAGUGUCGCGCUCUUCCCGCGGCGCCGCCAGGGUGGUGGUCUGUGAGGCGCCUUCUCGCGCUCGCAGGGGGCGCUGGGGCAGCUCUGGGUUGCCCCCUCAGAGCCCCCUUGCUGCCCGUCAUCUUCAAGGACCCUCUGGACACCUCUACACGUGCCCGUGCCCCGACCUGGCUACUGUUCGGAAUUGGUCGUUGUUUUAAAGUGUGUUGCGUAGACUGGUCCCGUUUGUGCAACGUAUCAUCUACCAAACAGAUGCAACAGACAGACAUGAGAUGAAUGAAGAAUAGCGCUAAAGCACUGGGUGACAGAGCUGGAUUUUUCUCACAGAAACACAGCAUUUGCAACCAAAAUAUGAGUCCUUGUGUAGGUAAGUUAUGUAAGAACAUAAGUCAGAUAAAUGGUCCAUCUAGUCCAAAUUCCCAUCUUUGACAGUGGCAAGGAGAAGAUGCUUUGGAGAGAGAGUAUAUGAACGGCAGCCGCAGAGUAAUCCAUCCCUGUCAUACUCUGCCUUGUAUCAACCAUCAUUGGUUUAGGGAUGUCAGAGGACAUAUACCUGACAUAUCCUUGGUUCAGUUCUGUACAAUAGUUCCCAGUGGACCUGUCCUUUUUAGCUUUGUCUAAUAAAAUUCCUUUUUGAACUUG